UAUAUUGGUCACCUCAAGGAAAGGACUCUAAAGGAUCAAAUGGCCAAACAUUCUACUGAAGUCAUUCGCAAAGCUGUUCUGUGUUUGCUGCCUAGAAACAAAUUACACAAUGCAUAGAUGGGUCAUUGGGUUUAAAAGUGGUGUCUCCCACUUUGUUUGCAGCAGAAAAGGAAGAAGCCAAGGCUGUAUUAACCUCGUUUUUGAAGAAACAAGGUUUGAGGAAAGCGCUUGCUGCGAGAACCAUUAACAAGUCGGAUCUUUUCAUUGAUCACCUUGUCCCAAAGCUUCAUUCUAAGCACAAAUCUUGGUAUCUUGCAGGGAGAGAGCUUACAACAUUGGAGAUCAGGGAUGCUCUUAUCCCUUAUCCUGAAUCUCUUUUUGAAGAGCAUGGAGCCAUUCUAGUGGAUGUAGUGGAAAACUAUCCAAAUCCACCUGUUAGGGAUAAAUCAGCUGUGCCAAUUCCUCCUCCUAGUCCAGUGUCAGACUCAGAAGCUUAAAGCUGUGCCUAGAGUGAGUGAGGUAGACACAGAUGGUGGCAGUCUUUGCCCUCAUAUUGUCUAUCUUAUGGAACUUGGUAUGGAUAUUGAGCAAAUUAGGAGUAUCACACAUUAAUUUCUAUCUUUUGCCUACUAUAGCUUGGAGGGUAAAAUUAAGCCAGUGGUUGAGUUUUUUCUUGAUCUGGGAGUGCCAAAAGAACAUUCACACUAUCCUCACUAAAAGGCCUCAAUUGUGUGAUCAAUUAAAUUUGGAUGAUGAUGAAGAUGACGACGACGAGAAUGAUGAAUUAAAUGACAGCACUAUGAAGGAUGUGAAUCUAAAUGAAAGUACAAGUGGUGAAGCUUCUCAUUUCCCUGAUGAAGAAAAAGCACCUAAACUGGAUCCAACUUUGGCUCCUUAAGCAUGAAUUCUGGGCUUUUGUACUGUUUUAAUGUUAUGAGCGAGCUUAUGUUCAUUUAUAAAACAUUGGCGGUUUAUUUGUGUUUUGAACUUAUUUACAGACCUGUGUUGUUAUAAACUUUAAUUGUCAUCUGAGAUGUUAGGUACUUUUUCAUGAAAAUUAUUUUAAAUUUGG